GGACAGAGCUCUUUCCAAAACCUGUUCUCAUUAAUUGCACAGAGGUGUACAGUUGCAGGGAGGUGACAGAGCUCACCCAGGCCUUUUAUUGUGCUCUGAAGACAUGCCCUUCGGCUCAAGGAGAUGCCCCAGGUCUAUCCCAUAGCAGAGACUGGACGCCUUCAUUCCACCCAGCCCCCAAAUUUCUCCCCAGACUGUUACUGAAAAUAACUUUUCUGACAAUGGAGGAGGUUGAGGCCAUGUGGAAUGAGGUCCCCGUUCUUUCUCCAAGGUUCCCUGUGACUCCCUUCUUCCCUUCUCCAUCUUCAGGUAUACCUCCCCCUCUACCUAGCUUCUCUCCAUCUCCUGAACAGCAUUCAAAUCUCUCCCACCCUGACUUACAGAAAAAAAAAAGCCUUUCCUGCAGCCUCAUCUCUUCUUUUCUUAGACCAACUUGGUCCUCUAAAGCACAGUGAUCAGUUCCUCUGCUCUUGAGUAAUGCAGAUUCGAAUCCCAGCUCCUCUAGCUCUUAGCUGUGUGCUAGGGGCAAACUACUUAACCUCUCUGAAGUCAGUUAUUUCCUCAGUAAAGAAAUCAACAAUCAUACCUGGCCCAUAAUUUUAUUGUGAGAUUAAAUGAAAUGGCUGGAAUGAGGUCCCUGCACAGAAUGAGGCACAUACAAGGUUCUCCACAUGCCUGUCAUCCUCGUGGCUUAUCAAGAAGAUUAAACCUUAGGCACUGGAGCAGAGGCCAGGGCAUGUGAGUAUGGAAAGUGAUCCCUAGUUUUAGUCCAUUUGGGUGCUAUAAAAUAAAGACUGGGUAUUUAAAAUAGCAGACACUUAUUUCUCAGUUCUGGAGGCUGGGGAUCCAAAAUCAAGGUGUCAGCAGUUCUGGUGUCUGAUGAGACUCCACUUCCUAGCUUAUAAAUGCCCACCUCAGUCUUCCUUUCUUGCAGUGCGGAUCUGAGGUAUUACAGUUUCUACACUAUAAUCUUGUAGUGUCCCUGCAGAUUACAAUUAGACCAGAGACCCUGCACCUAAUAGAGGAAAAAGUAGGCCCAAAUCUUCAUCACGUUGGGUUAGGCCCCGACUUCCUUAACAAGAUUCCUAAAGCUCAAGAAAUAAAAUCAAGAAUCAAUAAAUGGAAUUGGAUUCAAACAACAAAGCUUCUUCUCAGCAAAAGAAACAAUCAAUGAGGUAAAGAGAGAGCUUACAUUUUGGGAGCAAAUUUUUGCCACACGCAUAUUAGAUAGAGCACUAAUCUCCAGGAUAUAUAAAGAAUUCAAAACAUCAAAAAAAAAAAAACUCAAUCAAUAAAUGGGCUAAGGAGCUGAAUAGACUCCAGAAGAAGUUAUACAAUCAAUCAACAAAUAUAUGAAAAAAUGUUCAACAUCUCUAGUAAUUAAAGAAAUGCAAAUCAAAACUGCUCUGAAGAUUUCAUCUCAUGCCAGUCAAAAUGGCAGUUAUCAAGAAAACAGACAACAAUAAAGCAAAGUGUUGGCAAGGAUUUGGGGGAAAAGACACUCAUACAUUUCUGGUGGAACUGCAAAUUGGUGCAACCACUAUGGAAAGCAGUAUGGAGAUUUCUCAGAAAACUGGGAAUGGAACCACCAUUUGACCCAGCUAUCCCACUCCUUGGUCUAUACCCAAAGGACUUAAAAUCAGCCUACUAUAGUAACGCUGCCACAUCAAUGUUUAUAGCAGCUCAAUUCACAAUAAACUGUGGAAGCAACCUAGAUGACCUUCAAUAGAUGAAUGGAUAAAGAAACUGUGGUAUGUAUACACAAUGGAAUAUUACUCAGCAUUAAAAGAAAAUAAAAUUAUGGCAUUUGCAGGUGAAUGAAUGGAGUUGGAGAAUAUCAUGCUAAGCGAAGUAAGCCAAUCCCCCAAAACCAAAGGCCAAAUGUUCUCUCUGAUAAGUGGAUGCUGAUCCAUAAUGGAGGGGGAGGCAUGGGAAAAAUGGAAGAACUUUUGUUGGGCAAAGGGGAGUAGGUAUGGUGUCAGGAAAGAUGGUGGAAUGAGAUGGACAUUAUUUCCCUAGGUACAUGUAUGACUGCACAUAUGGUGUGAUGCUACAUCAUGUAAAACCAGAGAAAUGAAAAGUUGUGCUGCAUUUGUGUACAAUGAAUCAAAAUGCAUUCUGCUAUCAUAUAUACCUAAUUAAAAUAAAU
rnacentral:lncRNA from 1 species